rnacentral:rRNA from 1 species
AUUCCAGCUCCAGUAGCGUAUAUUAAAGUUGUUGCAGUUAAAAAGCUCGUAGUUAGAUUUCUGACUUGACGCGCCUGGCCCGCCUUGCAUUUCGCGGGUGAGUGCCGGAGCGCGUCGGUCAUCCUUCUAGAGAACGGCGCUGCCCUUCACUGGGUCGGCGUCGCAAUCUAGAUCUUUUACUUUGAAAAAAUUAGAGUGUUCAAGGCAGGCUCGCGCUGUGAAUACAUUAGCAUGGAAUAAUAAUCUAGGACUUUGUUCCUAUUUUGUUGGUUUCUAGGAAUUAAGUAAUGAUUGAUAGGGAUAGUUGGGGGUGCUAGUAUUCAGCGGCCAGAGGUGAAAUUCUUGGAUUCGCUGAAGACUAACUUAUGCGAAAGCAUUCACCAAGGAUGUCUUCAUCA